CCUACGGGAGGCAGCAGUGGGGAAUAUUGGGCAAUGGAGGAAACUCUGACCCAGCAACGCCGCGUGAAUGAUGAAGGUCUUCGGAUUGUAAAGUUCUUUUCUCAGGGAAGAAGAAAGUGACGGUACCUUAGGAAUAAGCCUCGGCGAACUACGUGACAGCAGCCGCGGUAAUACGUAGGAGGCAAGCGUUAUCCGGAAUGACUGGGCGUAAAGGGGGCGUAGGUGGUUUGACAAGUUGGUAGCGUAACUCCGGGGCUUAACCUCGGCACUACUACCAAAACUGUUGGACUCGAGUGCAGGAGAGGCAAAUGGAAUUCCUAGUGUAGCGGUGGAAUGCGUAGAUAUUAGGAGGAACACCAGUGGCGAAGGCGAUUUGCUGGACUGUAACUGACACUGAGGCACGAAAGCGUGGGGAGCAAACAGGAUUAGAUACCCCUGUAGUC
rnacentral:rRNA from 1 species